GACGUAGGGGGCCAGCGUUGCUCGGAAUUACUGGGCGUAAAGGGUCCGUAGGCGGUGCGGCAAGUCGAGAGUGAAAUCCCUAGGCUUAACCUAGGGGCUGCUAGCGAAACUGCCGUGCUAGAGUGUGAGAGAGGCGAGUGGAAUUACGGGUGUAGCGGUGAAAUGCGUAGAUAUCCGUAGGAACAUCCGAGGCGAAAGCGGCUCGCUGGAUCACAACUGACGCUGAGAGACGAAAGCUAGGGGAGCAAACAGG
rnacentral:rRNA from 1 species